CAGUAGCCGCGGUAAUACGAAGGGUGCAAGCGUUACUCGGAAUUACUGGGCGUAAAGCGUGCGUAGGUGGUGGUUUAAGUCCGUUGUGAAAGCCCUGGGCUCAACCUGGGAAUUGCAGUGGAUACUGGAUCACUAGAGUGUGGUAGAGGAUAGUGGAAUUUCCGGUGUAGCAGUGAAAUGCGUAGAGAUCGGAAGGAACAUCUGUGGCGAAGGCGACUAUCUGGGCCAACACUGACACUGAGGCACGAAAGCGUGGGGAGCAAACAGGAUUAGAUACCCGGGUAGUCCCUGUCUCUUAUAA
rnacentral:rRNA from 1 species